GGACUACUGGGGUUUCUAAUCCUGUUCGCUCCCCACGCUUUCGCUCCUCAGCGUCAGUUACGGCCCAGAGAUGUGCCUUCGCCAUUGGUGUUCCUCCUGAUAUCUGCGCAUUCCACCGCUACACCAGGAAUUCCCAUCUCCCCUACCGCACUCUAGCCUGCCCGUACCCACUGCAAGUCCAAGGUUGAGCCUUGGAUUUUCACAGCAGACGUGACAAACCGCCUACGAGCUCUUUACGCCCAAUAAUUCCGGACAACGCUUGCACCCUACGUAUUACCGCGGCUGCUGGCACGUAGUUAGCCGGUGCUUUUUCUGCAGGUACCGUCACUUUCGCUUCUUCCCUGCUAAAAGAGGUUUACAACCCGAAGGCCUUCAUCCCUCACGCGGCGUUGCUGCAUCA
rnacentral:misc_RNA from 1 species